AUCCACAGCGCUGUGUUCAAGGAACUCUUAUUUUACAUGGUUAUAACCCCCAACCACAAGAGGAGUGAUGCUGACAAUUCGGAUCUGCCUAAGAAAAGCCAUAAAGUCCUUCCUUUAAGUGAAAAGUGAAAGUUCUCGACUUAAUAAGGAAGGAAAAAAAUAACUUCAUGCUGAGGUUGCUAAGAUCUAUGAUAAGAAGGAAUCUUCUAUCUGUGAAAUUGUGAAGAAGGAAAAAGAAAUUUGUGCUAGUUUUGCUGCUGCAAAAGCUACUGCCACAGUGCACGGUAAGUGCUUGAGAUGGAAAAAAAAUUACAUUUGUGAAUGAAAGACAGGAACAGAAAUGUGUUCCUAUUGAUUACAAUCAGGUUUGGUACUAUCUGUGAUUUCAGGCCUCCACUGGAGGUCUUGGAACAUAUCCCCCGUGGAUAAGUGGGGGAGAUGCUGUGUUAUCACCCCAGAGAAUCAGUAUGUACUAUAUAUUCCACCAGGCAAUGGGAAUGUGCAGAGUACAGCCACCCAGCCACCAGCUGAGGCCAAGUGCCCAGUGGCAGCAUGUCAUGGUUGGAGGUCAGUCUGGAGCCAGGAGACUCCGGCUUAUGCUCCAGCUCUGUGUCAGCCUAUGAGAUCUGGGGAUUGCUGAACUUCAGAGGCUCAAUUUUCUCGGUUCCUAAAUGGGGAUAACAAAACCAGGUUCAUAAGUCAUUUUAAGAAUUAAGGGAGCAAUCGUGCAGUUUAGAGCUAUCACGGAGGAGAAGAUAUUUUGUAAAAUGUAUAGGCUUACACUGUAAGAGUCAUAAUUAUUCUCAUUAUAGCUUCAAUACAUUGAAGGACUUGAAUUCCUGAGUCUUCCUUAAAAGACAAUAACCUAAUUUGUUUUCUUGUUUGUUUGAUUUCAAAAUGUUUACUAUUUCUUAGCUAAACAAUACAUUCAAGAAGUUGGAGAAGCAAAAAUAACAGUAAAAGAUGUCCCUUCCCCAUCUUCCAAAUUCCCACUGCCUCCUGUUACUAGGUUUUUGUUGUUUUUUGUGAGCUCCCAGAUCUUUUGGAUAAAUAUGAAGACAAAGGCAUUUGUCCAUUUCAAAAUACAUUAUCCCCUCCUUUCCGCCUUUUAACCACAA
rnacentral:lncRNA from 10 species